GACAGAGGGUGCAAACGUUUGUUCGGAUUUACUGGGCGUAAAGCGCGUGUAGGCGGCUUUGCAAGUCGGAUGUGAAAUCCCACGGCUCAACCGUGGAAGUGCAUCCGAAACUGCAUCGCUGGAGUCUCGGAGAGGAAGGUGGAAUGCUUGGUGUAGAGGUGAAAUUCGUAGAUAUCAAGCAGAACACCUGCGGCGAAGGCGGCCUUCUGGACGAUGACUGACGCUGAGACGCGAAAGCGUGGGGAGCAAACAGG
rnacentral:rRNA from 1 species